CUGAGAAGCUGAGACUGAGGCUUCAUCAUCUUCCAACAGCAUGCCAGGUGGCCACUAUAGCCUAGAGAGACUUGACAGACUUGGUGGAAUCUCUUUGCCAUCUCUGGAUGAAAACACAGGAUACAUAGUGAACGGUAAAAAACAUUCUGACCCCUGGUCUAAGCCAAUCAUUACCAUGAUAUGGCUGUUUUAGACCAGAACAUGUGAUACAACUUGGACAACAGGAUGUGAGAUGAAACCUGCUGGGAGUCUUCUGGGAGAGAUUUCCCUCCACUUAAAAAGAAGCAUGGAAGACAUGAUCUUUUUGUUUCCGGCUCGUGUCUUGCAUGGAUAUGGCUGCUGGAAAUCUGGAGGCCAUCUUGUCACCAGGUGGGGAGCCAGGCUGAGGUCAAAGCCUUCAUGCUGAUGCUGGCCAAGCUGAAGGAUGGAAAGAGCCUGGGUCCUUGAUGAAGUCUUUUAGCCAUUGGAUUAAUCACCCUGGAAUGGCCCUACCAACAGUCUUAUUAUUCUGAGAGUUUAUAAAUAGUUCUAUUGUUUCCACAGUGGAAGGUAGAAUUUCCUCCUAAGCUGCAGCUGAAAGCAGCCUCAUCUGAGAACACUUUGAACACCACGGGCCACCAUGAUCGGGAGCUCCCGUAGCUCCUCAUGACUGGAGUGAGUGGGAAAGCAGAAAACCCAGUGGGCAGUCGAGAAUCUCAUUUUAUAUUUCCUCUUACCUUGCUUGCCUACACCCUCAAUCCACACUUGAUUGAUUGCUCUUCUAACACCCUUAAGCCCCAACGCCUAAAUGUUCUUCUCAUUGUCCAGCUCCUGCAACAUUUAUGUUCCUGCUAUCGUUGAAAUAGUCCCUGAGAUUGCUCCCAAUGUGCAUCUGAAGGAACGUCAGUAAAGGGCUCAGCUCACUCACCAAAGUACAGCACAGAGUAUUCCCUCUUGUGAUCUGUGGCUUGAAUCAUCUUUCCCUCUCCUCUUCCAGCCUCACAGCCAUGAUUCAUCCACCUUUUGAGUGAAACUUACCUUCCCAGGGUUCCAGCCGCCCUCCACCACAUCCUUCCACUCAAGGCCACUCUCCUUUCCUUCUCCCCAUGCACCCGGGUGCUUAACAGUAAAGGCAGAGAGUUGUUGUCUAAGUCUGACCACAAGACGUGGCACCAAUUCACAGCCCAAGGAAACACCCUUGAUUCGACCUCAGAUGCAGAAGCCGAUCUGGUUAGCGGGGGGUCUUCUCCAUCUGCAUUUGAGGCAUCUCUUCAGCCAGAUGCCCACGUUUUCCCACCAGCAGCUGCAAAUCCCCAUUCCUCUUCUUACUUGCUGCUUUUGUCUCUUUCUCCUCUAUAUUUAUUUUCUCUGCCUACACAUUUUGUUUUUCUUUCAGGGGACCCUUACCUAGACCUGCCAUAUGGUUCUGCUUUGAACAAAGUGUGGAGUGUGCAGAUGCAGCUGGUGGGGUCCCUGGACAUGAUCGUCUACACAUGGGCCCCUUGGAGCUCAGGCUGCUGCCUGGCAGAGAGGGGCUAAGAUCCAGCUGUGGCAGGGAGAGGGGGAUUCCAGAAACAGUCCAAGGCAGGCCACACACCUCAUUAGUUCAUUUUGAUUAGUCUCUUUUAUCCAGUUGUUAGGAAGGUGAACAGUGAUAGACGAGGCAGUCCUGAGAUUUUUAUCCCCUGAAUUAUAUACAGUUUGGCAAGAUGAGAUAAACCACGGAGAGAGCACAUAGAACCUGACAUGUAUAUAGCCAGAUUGACUUGUAAGAUUGUGUGAGGUUGCCUGAAAUCCUAACUCCACAGCCCUUCUUCAUUUUUCUUGCAAAGCUUUGAGGGCUUAUGCUUUGACAGCCUUUUUUGACUUUUGGCUCCUUGUCCAUUUGUGCCAUCUCUUCUUCUAUCAACCUGGGCUGAGAACCAGGACAGCUGUUCACCAGGAUGCAGAACCAGGUUGGACCCUGCACACGGGUGCCCUGCCCAGCGGCAGGGUGGCAACUAAAGCGAGCUUCAGUUCAGAUUUCCGAAGAAAGACCAGAGGGAAGGGUCUGAGGAGCUUAGAGUCACCCUUGCUGUUUGAAUAUGCUCCCGUGAGUUAUCCAAGUAUUCCUGCCAAAUGAAUGCAAAGCUCUCCCUACGGUAAUAUCUGGGAGGAACGUUUUCUCGAGCUCAAUUUGUUGGCGGUAACCAAAGCAAAGCGGUGUAUCUUUGCUAAGCUGGAAUACACUGCAUGUAACACGUCGCUGAACGGUGCUGGUUGUGGCAGCAGACCUGGUGAGUUCAGGAGAACACCAUCCAAUUAUUAUCCCUUCCCACUAUUCAAACUUGUUCUGUGGAAUUAUGUUUUUCUUAGAUCUCACGAUGUAUCUGUUUAUUUUCAUUGUAAGAAUGGUAGCACUUUUGUGGUUAAACUGUUUAGUCACAGGUCAUAGUGGAAACUCUCUUUCCUUUGAAGUGAAGGCUCCCCAACCCCUACCACCUCCCCAGCUCCCACACACCUGCUUGAUGAGGUUCACCUGUCAAUGCUCGGCACCCCGCGCGCAAAUUGCCUGGGUCUUCUAGGAUUGAAGAAGAGGAGAUGGGAAAGUCAAAGACAGGGGAGCUGUGUUUGCCUGGCACCCGUGAAUCUGGUGUUGGUUUCCUCCAGCCCUGGCAGAAGCAUAAAGCUGAGUCUCUUUUUCGUGUGCUUUGGUUUUUGUUUUGAUGAUAGUUUCCUCUCCUAUGAGAUCAUGAGCACUUCAAGGAUAUACAGUAAAACCUUCGAUUGUUAGUAACUUGUUCUGUGAGUGUUCCAAAGACAUGCAAGCAUUUCUAAUACAUUUUAACUUGAGAAACAAGCAGUGUCUUGAAAUACGAGUCGUACGUGAUGCCGAAUGUCACAUGAUCACAACUGAGCCAAUGGUUCUUGAAAUUCGCUUUGAUAUAUGAAUGCUUUGGAUUACAAGCGUGUUUCCAAAAUGAAUUAUGCUCACGAACCAAGGUUUUACUGUAGUUUGAGUAAUACAUCCACACUGAACAUGAAUACUUGAAGA